rnacentral:rRNA from 2 species
UUAAGCGACUAAGCGUACACGGUGGAUGCCCUGGCAGUCAGAGGCGAUGAAGGACGUGCUAAUCUGCGAAAAGCGUCGGUAAGGUGAUAUGAACCGUUAUAGCCGGCGAUGUCCGAAUGGGGAAACCCAGUGCAAUUCGUUGCACUAUCGUUAACUGAAUACAUAGGUUAACGAGGCGAACCGGGGGAACUGAAACAUCUAAGUACCCCGAGGAAAAGAAAUCAACCGAGAUUCCCCCAGUAGCGGCGAGCGAACGGGGAGCAGCCCAGAGUCUGAAUCAGCUUGUGUGUUAGUGGAACGGUCUGGAAAGUCCGACGGUACAGGGUGAUAGUCCCGUACACCAAAAUGCACAGGUUGUGAACUCGAAGAGUAGGGCGGGACACGUGGUAUCCUGUCUGAAUAUGGGGGGACCAUCCUCCAAGGCUAAAUACUCCUGACUGACCGAUAGUGAACCAGUACCGUGAGGGAAAGGCGAAAAGAACCCCGGCGAGGGGAGUGAAAAAGAACCUGAAACCGUGUACGUACAAGCAGUGGGAGCACCUUCGGGUGUGACUGCGUACCUUUUGUAUAAUGGGUCAGCGACUUAUAUUCUGUAGCAAGGUUAACCGUAUAGGGGAGCCGCAGGGAAACCGAGUCUUAACUGGGCGUUAAGUUGCAGGGUAUAGACCCGAAACCCGGUGAUCUAGCCAUGGGCAGGUUGAAGGUUGGGUAACACUAACUGGAGGACCGAACCGACUAAUGUUGAAAAAUUAGCGGAUGACUUGUGGCUGGGGGUGAAAGGCCAAUCAAACCGGGAGAUAGCUGGUUCUCCCCGAAAGCUAUUUAGGUAGCGCCUCGUGAAUUCAUCUUCGGGGGUAGAGCACUGUUUCGGCUAGGGGGUCAUCCCGACUUACCAACCCGAUGCAAACUACGAAUACCGAAGAAUGUUAUCACGGGAGACACACGGCGGGUGCUAACGUCCGUCGUGAAGAGGGAAACAACCCAGACCGCCAGCUAAGGUCCCAAAGUCAUGGUUAAGUGGGAAACGAUGUGGGAAGGCACAGACAGCCAGGAUGUUGGCUUAGAAGCAGCCAUCAUUUAAAGAAAGCGUAAUAGCUCACUGGUCGAGUCGGCCUGCGCGGAAGAUGUAACGGGGCUAAACCAUGCACCGAAGCUGCGGCAGCGACACUAUGUGUUGUUGGGUAGGGGAGCGUUCUGUAAGCCUGCGAAGGUGACCUGUGAGGGUUGCUGGAGGUAUCAGAAGUGCGAAUGCUGACAUAAGUAACGAUAAAGCGGGUGAAAAGCCCGCUCGCCGGAAGACCAAGGGUUCCUGUCCAACGUUAAUCGGGGCAGGGUGAGUCGACCCCUAAGGCGAGGCCGAAAGGCGUAGUCGAUGGGAAACAGGUUAAUAUUCCUGUACUUGGUGUUACUGCGAAGGGGGGACGGAGAAGGCUAUGUUAGCCGGGCGACGGUUGUCCCGGUUUAAGCAUGUAGGCUGGUUGUCCAGGCAAAUCCGGAUAAUCAAGGCUGAGGUGUGAUGACGAGGCACUACGGUGCUGAAGUAACAAAUGCCCUGCUUCCAGGAAAAGCCUCUAAGCAUCAGGUAACAUCAAAUCGUACCCCAAACCGACACAGGUGGUCAGGUAGAGAAUACCAAGGCGCUUGAGAGAACUCGGGUGAAGGAACUAGGCAAAAUGGUGCCGUAACUUCGGGAGAAGGCACGCUGGUGUGUAGGUGAAGUCCCUGCGGAUGGAGCUGAGACCAGUCGAAGAUACCAGCUGGCUGCAACUGUUUAUUAAAAACACAGCACUGUGCAAACACGAAAGUGGACGUAUACGGUGUGACGCCUGCCCGGUGCCGGAAGGUUAAUUGAUGGGGUUAUCCGUAAGGAGAAGCUCUUGAUCGAAGCCCCGGUAAACGGCGGCCGUAACUAUAACGGUCCUAAGGUAGCGAAAUUCCUUGUCGGGUAAGUUCCGACCUGCACGAAUGGCGUAAUGAUGGCCAGGCUGUCUCCACCCGAGACUCAGUGAAAUUGAACUCGCUGUGAAGAUGCAGUGUACCCGCGGCAAGACGGAAAGACCCCGUGAACCUUUACUAUAGCUUGACACUGAACAUUGAGCCUUGAUGUGUAGGAUAGGUGGGAGGCUUUGAAGCGUGGACGCCAGUCUGCGUGGAGCCAACCUUGAAAUACCACCCUUUAAUGUUUGAUGUUCUAACGUUGGCCCCUGACCGGGGUUGCGGACAGUGUCUGGUGGGUAGUUUGACUGGGGCGGUCUCCUCCCAAAGCGUAACGGAGGAGCACGAAGGUUAGCUAAUCCUGGUCGGACAUCAGGAGGUUAGUGCAAUGGCAUAAGCUAGCUUGACUGCGAGCGUGACGGCGCGAGCAGGUGCGAAAGCAGGUCAUAGUGAUCCGGUGGUUCUGAAUGGAAGGGCCAUCGCUCAACGGAUAAAAGGUACUCCGGGGAUAACAGGCUGAUACCGCCCAAGAGUUCAUAUCGACGGCGGUGUUUGGCACCUCGAUGUCGGCUCAUCACAUCCUGGGGCUGAAGUAGGUCCCAAGGGUAUGGCUGUUCGCCAUUUAAAGUGGUACGCGAGCUGGGUUUAGAACGUCGUGAGACAGUUCGGUCCCUAUCUGCCGUGGGCGCUGGAGAAUUGAGGGGGGCUGCUCCUAGUACGAGAGGACCGGAGUGGACGCAUCACUGGUGUUCGGGUUGUCAUGCCAAUGGCACUGCCCGGUAGCUAAAUGCGGAAGAGAUAAGUGCUGAAAGCAUCUAAGCACGAAACUUGCCCCGAGAUGAGUUCUCCCUGAGACUUUAAGUCUCCUGAAGGAACGUUGAAGACGACGACGUUGAUAGGCCGGGUGUGUAAGCGCAGCGAUGCGUUGAGCUAACCGGUACUAAUGAACCGUGAGGCUUAACCUU